AACGAGUAAGGGUCUCUCCGGCCCGACCUCCCAACCCUUUGUCUACCUGACCCCUUGUUGCUUCGGCGAGCCCGUCCCUACGGACCGCCGGAGGGACCUUCAUCGGCCCUCUGGCCAGCGCUCGUCGAUAGCCAAAACUUUUUUAAAAUCUAUAACUAAACGUGUCUUAAUCUAAGUACUAUUUGUUAAAUAAAAGCAAAACUUUCAACAACGGAUCUCUUGGUUCUGGCAUCGAUGAAGAACGCAGCGAAAUGCGAUAAGUAAUGCGAAUUGCAGAAUUCCAGUGAGUCAUCGAAUCUUUGAACGCACAUUGCGCCCUUUGGUAUUCCGAAGGGCAUGCCUGUUCGAGCGUCAUUAUCACCCCCUCAAGCCCCUGGCUUGGUGUUGGACGGCUUGGUGGACGCCCCCGCACGGGGCGUCCACCCCUCCCAAAGACAAUGACGGCGGCCUCGUUGGACCCCCGGUACACUGAGUUCUUCACGGGACACGUAUCGGACACAUGGGUUUGCGGGACACGGUCUGCCUCCCCUCAGGGAGAAUCUUCUAAGGUGACC
rnacentral:rRNA from 1 species